CCCACCACCAUAUAGCCUGCUUUGCAGCAUAUGCUUUACUAGAUUGUACAGUAUAUAUGAUUAUUCACCUUUCAAAGUACCCUGCAAUACCCAGAUAAAACAGACGAAACUUUGUGAAGCUCUCAAGUCACAGUCCUGAUCCCCAGAAAUAAGAAUGGAACCACGGUUUCUUUCAUUUCCAUUUCACAGUUUGCAGUGCCUAGGGGAACCAGAUUGCAAGAGUGAAAUAUCAGGACACAUUGGAUUGAACUACACAGCCACAAGUGAACCCACAAGAUGCUGUGUCAUCACUGUCAAUUACAAGAGACAGCCAUAACCUCUGGUGUAAAGAAGUUCUGAUUUCCCCCCCCACCCCCAUUUUUAGAUGAUUCCCACUGUU